GGCCAGCAGCAAUAGCAACCUGCGGAGAAAGGAGGGUGGUGUGCAGGUUCACACUUCUGUGAUAUGCAAUUGAAAUGACUUUACAAUUUUUAAUCUCAUACAUAUUGUGUGACUGUGUGCUUUCUGUAUGAUAUGUCUCUUAAACCCUUCCCCUGUUGCCCUAGUUCUGUACGCUUUGCUUCAACCAGUCUCUUCAAACGACUCCCUUCAUCAUUCUGGACUUCGUCCUUCGCAGAAAGCUAUUGAUAUUGCAACUUGGAUAAGCAAUGACAAAGUGAGGCAAAGGAAAGAAAUAUUGAGGAUAGGGAGAAAAUCUAGAGUUAGGAGAACAAUUACUUUUUACAACACUAAUCUUCAACUAGGUAAUAAAAUGUGUAAAUACCAUAGUGUAGUAGGAGGCUUGAAUAAUUAGACCCCAAAUUGUUAAAACUUAAACUGAUUAAGUACUUAGUUUCCAAAAAUUCCGGAACUAAAUAAAAUAACUUCUCGUUAAUUACUUAUCUUGUGCUUCUGUCUAAAAUAAGCACAAAUGUUCUCACAUCUAACCGUCAUCACAAAGCCAGCUCCUCUAUAAGAAUUUUUGUUUGGGGCCGUAGGGGAUGAUUUCGGCUGACUAUAACAUCUCUCUUUCUAUCUUUCUUGUUCAAUCAAGUCGACAAUGGUUUUUAUUUUUUGUUCUUAUUUAGUUUCAUGGAAGCCAAUCCCCAGUUGAUACUUUGCAUCUGUGUGAAAUUUGUUUGCUUGUUUUGCAUGCAUUCAUGAUUUACAGUCAGAAGUUCUGUGACCACCACGAAUCAAGAGUAGUGAACGAUCGAAUAUCAUGGUUCUGUCUUGGGUUUCGUUUUCUUCUACCCUUUUAGCUUUAUUUUUUUGUUUCAAUUAGUAAAAGUCACGAUCUUACAUUCUUUACAAGUUUUGCAGGUUCAGGUAUCCCUGCUUCUAAGGUCCGAUCCUAUUUAUUUUCAUUGCAGCUUACAAUGGAAUUUGUGUACAGGUUGCUGGUGCAGUGUAUCAGGAUUCAGGAGAAUGGGGUUGUACGAUAUUUCAGGUUUCAAUUCAGAAGUGUGAAAGUAUAUUCCUAUUCCAUCACUCGAACGACUGAUGUAGGUUAUUACUGUUGGUAGGUCAUUGCUGUUGGUCGAUUGUUGUAGUCAUCAUGAUGCAGGUUUAGUGUGGCAUCCAAUAUCUUUUUUGUUGUUGGACCAGUUGUAUUGUCAUAUUUGGAAUUGCACAAGCAUUAAAAUCUUGACUGGCUAUGAUGUUAUUCCUUCUGUUUAAGGUAUUGACAAUGCUUAAAAUCA